ACCCGCUGAACUUAAGCAUAUCAAUAAGCGGAGGAAAAGAAACCAACAGGGAUUGCCCUAGUAACGGCGAGUGAAGCGGCAACACCUCAAAUUUGAAAUCUGGCGUCUUUGGCGUCCGAGUUGUAAUUUGCAGAGGGCGCUUUGGCAUUGGCAGCGGUCCAAGUUCCUUGGAACAGGACGUCACAGAGGGUGAGAAUCCCGUACGUGGUCGCUAGCCUUUACCGUGUAAAGCCCCUUCGACGAGUCGAGUUGUUUGGGAAUGCAGCUCUAAAUGGGAGGUAAAUUUCUUCUAAAGCUAAAUACUGGCCAGAGACCGAUAGCGCACAAGUAGAGUGAUCGAAAGAUGAAAAGCACUUUGGAAAGAGAGUUAAAAAGCACGUGAAAUUGUUGAAAGGGAAGCGCUUGCAGCCAGACUUGCCUGUAGUUGCUCAUCCGGGUUUUUACCCGGUGCACUCUUCUAUAGGCAGGCCAGCAUCAGUUUGGGCGGUUGGAUAAAGGUCUCUGUCAUGUACCUCUCUUCGGGGAGAACUUAUAGGGGAGACGACAUGCAACCAGCCCGGACUGAGGUCCGCGCAUCUGCUAGGAUGCUGGCGUAAUGGCUGU
rnacentral:rRNA from 1 species